CUCUUGUCUGCUCCCUCCGCCUCUCUCCUGCUCUUCUAGUCCACCUUUCCUGUUCCCAGGCCAUCUCUUCAAGAUGGCCCACAAGGACUUUCUGAUUUCUCUGCUCCUGGCUUCUAGGACUUUAAAGUUUCAGGCUGAAAAAAGCUUAUGAAAACUGCUACUGCACCCGAGAUGGAAAGAUACCCCCAGUGAAAGGGCAAAUAGGAUUCAGGAGAUCUUAGCUGUCCUGUGAAGACGAAGAAACUCCAAUAAUUUUGGUAGCUUGAUUUCAGCAGCUCAUACUAAUCCUCAAGCCAUUUACCAUCUCAGGAGAGAGCAGUAAGUAGAUAAUGAUUGGGCCUCUGAAAAGCCACUGCCAGCUUUGGUGUUUUGUGAAUUCCACGUUUGGAGGAUACACAGGGCAUCAGGUUCCCAUCAGCCUUGCCUUGGAGAGCUCACUUACACAAAGGAGAGGACAAUGCCGUUUAAAGCACAAUUGCCUUCUGAGAAGAGUGGAUCUUAUAUAUAGGAAAGCUUUUUGGUCAGCUCAGUACCUUCAUGGAUUUGGAUAUGCAAAAUGGGCCCAGAGCAACAUGUGGGAAGAAGGGCUGGGGCAGAGUUGAAUUGCUCUGCAUAAUUAAUAAGAAUUGGAAUUGGUGGGGGAGAACCCACGAAGGAGAUGAGAAAAAGAGAGGUGGGUGAAGACGAGGGACAGCAAAAUGGGUGAGUCUGGGGCUCUCUGCUGAGUGGAGUGACCAGCAAAAAAUCCCAGGAGUGGGAGUCUAGAACUUGGAUGUCUAUGUAGUUGUGCCCUGUUGCAAUAAAAGCCUCUCUAUAGUCCUCUCAAGUCUGCUGUAAAAUCUUCUUUACGAACUUCCUCGUGUAAGGAUUUGUUUGCGUUGGUGGAACUCAGGGAUGAGGCUCAAUUUCAGAUAUGAGUCAAUUGUGGAAUAGACUAACAGAAAGAGCAAAGCCACAAAAGAAGAAAACAAGAGUUAAAAGCCAGGGUAAUUACAAGAAAAUAACUCUCAAAGAAUUUGGAGAAAUCACUGGACAUUCACAGUGUAUUGAAUUGGUGGCUCAAGCUCAUCUUUUCUAGACACCAAUGGGAAGGAAGACUCCAUGUGUGCAUGCGUAUGUGACACGCACACGCACACUUACACACAACUGGAAAAAACUGAAGAAAAGGCUGAGGGAGAACAUUUGACCAGGUCUGGGCCCAGAUACAAGGGAAGCCUGGUGGACAAUGAGUUGGUGCCCCUGCAAUCUGAGGGCUCUUCCUUGAAGAAGCCGAGUGGGUGGAGUCUUGGCUGCUGGCCAGGGAAUAAGAAGUCAUCAUCAGGAGAAGAGGCAGCUGCUGGCUGCAAGGGCGUGUUCAUGUGCGGGAAAUCGACCAGGCGAGUUUGAUCAGAUGAGGUACCCACAUACACUUAAAGGAUACAUAUAUUAUGAUUUAGCAGUUCGUUUUGACAACUCCCUUUGUGGCAAAUUCAAGGUAAGAAGUAACACUGUUAUAUGAAGCUGUAUCUGCGUGAUCCACCCCACUCCCCCCCCAAAAAAGAACCUAGCAAGGGCCCUUGGUUAAUUGCUUUCAGCAGUGGGAGGAAGAGAGGCCUGCUGUUCUAUCCAUCUUUUCAUAAAGGUCGCAAACGUUCUCUCUCCAACAAUAUCUGGAAGGAUGAAGCAUGACAGGGAGCUCCUCUGAACACAGCCACAACUGUCACGGUUGAAGAAAUGUUCAUCCCGCUCCUGCUUUGCCGGCAGUACAGGGUGUUUGGGCAAGAUUGGUGCCCCAAAGAGCCUUGUAUGGUGAGUUUAAGAGCCACCCCUGGCUAAAUCUUCCUAUGGCAUUGCUCUGAUCACGUACCUCUCCAGGUACAACCCCUUUAGAGGGCUCCCAAUUGCCUGCACAUUCAGUCAAAAUCCACUGGCUUGGAAGUGAGACCCUUCUCAGCUUAAAUCUUCUCUUCCUCUGGAAAACUUCCUGGAUUUCCUCACACCUGUAGCAUCUGCCAUCAGGUUUUUCCGUCACACUCUGAACUUCCAAUCCUUCGCACUCUGAUAACAGUUUAAUUGAAUUUGAAUUAAAUAUUUGUUUGAUGUCACCAGAGCUAGACUGCUGAGCCCUAUGUGGGUAGGGACCAGAUCUUUUUGUUUAAGUACUUAAAGUAGUGGCUGGCACUGAGUAACUCCUCAUAAAUAUUUAUGACUCACUGAAUGACUAACUGACUUGCUGUUCUCGUCCCAACUUACCUGUUCAGCUUCAUCUCCUGAUUCCUCCAUACACACACCUACGUUCCAUCCAAAUCCACCAUUCCCUGACAUCUGUCUUUACUUUCUUAUCUCUGUUACUUUGUUCAUUUGAUUCUUUCUUCUCGGAUAAUUGAUAUCAUUCCCAUCCCAUUUAAGGACAACCAGAAUCAGAGAAGACAGAACAGUAUUUUUUUUAGUGACAUAUAAUUUCAUGUAACAUAAAAUUCCCUAGUGAUUUUUAGCAUAUUCACAAGGUUGUACAACUAUCACUACUAUCUAAUUCCAGA